rnacentral:miRNA from 1 species
AGGAGCUGGACUGGAAUGAGGGGACUUUCAAAGCAACACGAUAAAACACACGAUAUAAAUAGAAAUUAUUACUUUAUCAUGCUGCAUGUAUUCGACAAUAAACAAGUAUUAAACAUUUAUAUCGUGUGUUUUAUCGUGUUGCUUUGAAAGCCCCCUCAUUCCAGUCCAGCUCCUC